rnacentral:rRNA from 1 species
GAUGAACGCUGGCGGCGUGCCUAAUACAUGCAAGUCGAGCGAACAGACGAGGAGCUUGCUCCUCUGACGUUAGCGGCGGACGGGUGAGUAACACGUGGAUAACCUACCUAUAAGACUGGGAUAACUUCGGGAAACCGGAGCUAAUACCGGAUAAUAUAUUGAACCGCAUGGUUCAAUAGUGAAAGACGGUUUUGCUGUCACUUAUAGAUGGAUCCGCGCCGCAUUAGCUAGUUGGUAAGGUAACGGCUUACCAAGGCAACGAUGCGUAGCCGACCUGAGAGGGUGAUCGGCCACACUGGAACUGAGACACGGUCCAGACUCCUACGGGAGGCAGCAGUAGGGAAUCUUCCGCAAUGGGCGAAAGCCUGACGGAGCAACGCCGCGUGAGUGAUGAAGGUCUUCGGAUCGUAAAACUCUGUUAUUAGGGAAGAACAAAUGUGUAAGUAACUAUGCACGUCUUGACGUAACCUAAUCAGAAAGCCACGGCUAACUACGUG